rnacentral:rRNA from 1 species
AUGCAAGGUAUGGCUCUUGCCAUACAUCAUUCAAACUUACUGGUGGUAUUGCAAUCGGAUUCCCUGGAAGCUUUAUCUUGCCUGUCCACAAAUGCUCUGCUGCGGUCAGCUUAUGGUCAGUUAGUCCUAGAGAUUAAACAUUUAGCUGGUACUAGGGAGUUUGUACCUCAAAAGAUUAGUCGUUUUCAGAAUAGAGUUGCCGAUCGUUUGGCUUGUUACAGCCGAACAGAGCAAGCCUCUGCUGUUUGGCUCCAUUCUGCUCCACCGUGUAUCAAGGACAUGUGGCCUCUCGACUGUAACUCUGUGGCUUUGCAAUAA